rnacentral:lncRNA from 1 species
GCCCGAAGAAGCUGGUCCUUAGCCUGCGCUGCGGAGCAACCUUUCAGUGGCCAGCUGGAGCCUGGGCACCGUUCUUCAAAUAAUGGCUUUUAAUUCUCAGACGAGAACGUUUAGGAUUACAAAAGAAACCGGUUCUCUUCACAUCCUUAUCCUUGUCAUGUAGCAUUCCGCUUGAAAUUGGAAGCCGUUCAAUGUCAGAGAGAAACCAUAUUUAUGAAAUGAAAGAGGCUUCUCAGAUGACUGCAAACCAGCCUUCCUUACUGGUUUUAUCACUGGUAAUGUUAUAAAGACAGUUGUCCAGUUUCAUGAAUCUUGUAGGUUUUUGUUUGUUUAUUUGUUUGCUUUUGAUGUUGUUGUUGUUGCUGUUGUUUUCCAACUUCAGUAUUGUAGAAAAAUAUGCUGCCCCAGAAGAGAUGAUUGGACACUCUCCAGCGUGGUGUUGGACUUUGUCAUCUCUUGCACAGCCAUCUCCAGACCUUAGUGUUUACCUCACGUUAGUUUUUUAUAUUCUGCAAAGACAAAACCAAAAUAAUCCAAAUUUGACACAAAUACCUGGGAUACAUCUUAUUUGAGAUGUUUAACAAAUGUCUGGAUCAUCUUUUCUUACAUUGGAUUAUAACGCAGGAAACACUGUGAACGCCCGCCUGGCAGGACGACUGAGCA